rnacentral:rRNA from 1 species
CACCUACGGGGCGCAGCAGUGGGGGACAUUGGACAAUGGGGGGAACCCUGAUCCAGCGACGCCGCGUGAGUGAAGAAGUAUUUCGGUAUGUAAAGCUCUGUCAGCAGGGAAGAAAGAAAUGACGGUACCUGACCAAGAAGCCCCGGCUAACUACGUGCCAGCAGCCGCGGUAAUACGUAGGGGGCAAGCGUUAUCCGGAUUUACUGGGUGUAAAGGGAGCGUAGACGGCAGUGCAAGUCUGGAGUGAAAGGCGGGGGCUCAACCCCCGGACUGCUCUGGA